rnacentral:lncRNA from 1 species
AAUCCGAGAAGGGGGAGCCAUCUCCAAACCCUAGAUUACCGAAUUCCGCUGCCACCGGCCGGAGAGGACCAGCGGCGGCCGCAGGGGAGAAGAAGAUCUGCAACACAAUGGCUCUGGAAACCUGCUUCCAGGUGAGCACCGUCGCCCACUCCACCACCGCCGCCGCCGCCGCCAGGAACUGCAUCGCGCACCCCCACAAGCUGAACCUGCCGGCGAGCAGAGCCUCGAGGAGCGCCGCCUUCUCUCUCUCCCCGUCACCACCGGGGGCUUCGGGUUACCGAUCGACUGUCCUCGCGCCUCGGAGAGCCCGCGGUGGCCGCGUCGUCUGCCAGGCCAAUAACGCGGUCGCUGAAGGUGAGUGAACCUCUCCUGUUCUUAAUCCGGUGGUGUUGUUUGCGGAUCCGAUCUGAUUUUGGAGGUGCUCCGGAACGUCGAUCCAGUUAUUGAGGUGACGGAGGGGACCUGGAACGAUCUCGUCAUCAAGAACAGCAAGCUCGUGCUGGUCGACUUCUGGGCGCCGUGGUGCGGGCCCUGCCGGAUGAUCGAACCGGUGAUCAGCGAGCUCGCCAAGGAGUAUGCGGGGAAGAUCCUCUGCGUGAAGCU